AGAUUAUAGACACCUCAGUUUAACAAAAUCCACCCGUCAACAAAUAAUUUUUUUUCUCAAAACCCCCUCCCUUAAGAAGUCUGUCUUCUAUUUCUUUUUUUUCCCUCUCUUUUCUCUUUCACAACUCUGCUAUGCUCUGCUCUCACUCUUGUUUCUUUUUUUUUUUUCCUUCUUUUAAAGCCACUCACAGUGAUGGUGGAGCGUCGCGAAGGCGUGUCGUGCACUGGUGUCAUGCGCCACAAAGGCAUAUCGCAAAGACAGUAGAGCUGGAGGCGUCGCCGUGAUGUAAUGCGAUAGUGGCUGUGUGGAGGCAGAUCGUGUGGUUGUAGAGCUGGUGUUGUACGUCAGUGGUGGUGUUGAGCUGAGAUUUGUGGAGUGGCGGUGUGGAGAUGCAGGGAGAGCCACAAUAGUGAAAAGGAGAAAUCGAAAACGAAAGCAAACUUUUUUCAUUUACAAUCCCGCAUAAACCCGACUCUCACACGAGUUUGAUAUAUGCGGGUUUGACCGCAUUAUAAGCAUUUUUGACUACAUUGUAAUACGACGGGGAAUACUUGCCAAACAUGAUAUUGUAUUAUUUUAAUACAAUGAG
rnacentral:lncRNA from 1 species